rnacentral:misc_RNA from 1 species
GGUAGUAAAAGUCGUAACAAGGUCUCCGUUGGUGAACCAGCGGAGGGAUCAUUACCGAGUUUACAACUCCCAAACCCCUAUGUGAACGUUACCAAACUGUUGCCUCGGCGGGAAAUUCAUGCCCCGGGCGCGUCGCAGCCCCGGACCAAGGCGCCCGCCGGAGGACCAACCAAAACUCUUUUGUAUGUCCCUCGCGGACUUUUAUAAUUCUGAACCAUCUCGGCGCCCCUAGCGGGCGUUUCGAAAAUGAAUCAAAACUUUCAACAACGGAUCUCUUGGUUCUG